GUUUGGAGUGAUGGUGUUUGUUUUCCCAAAUCACCAUUACCCUUGCUGGGGCCCUGAUCCUGAGGAGAUGGCUGAACACUUACCUGCCCAAGGUGAUCCUGCUGCUGGAGGAGUGAGUGAAUGGCUGCCUGGGGCUGCCUGUUGUGAAACCACAACAGAGGACCACACCUGCAACUUUACUGGCACUCAGUAAGGGGAAACAUAGUUGUUGGCAAUACCUUGUCCUGAGAGGACCAUGGUGUUUAGAAAAAUGUCUGAUAAACUUGAUAAUUGACCCAAAUUAUCAAGAGGAAGGAAAAAGCUAUGGAUUCGUACUCUUAAACUGAGCAUAUGAGCUGAUUUCAAAGAAAAACCCCUUUUGAUUCCUGAGAUAGCAACUGCUCGGUUUGUGUCUCCUCUGUGGAAGGCCUGAUAUCCAAAAAUGAUGGAAAGCUGGCAGAGUUCUGGAGGUGUAUUUUAAGAAGGUGACUGUAUUCUUCCUGGAAAGUGGAAUGGGAAAGGGAAAGAAAAUGGAAGACGUACAGCCACCAGCACUUAGUUAAGAAAACACCAUGAGAAGUUUGGUCCAAGACCAGAUUAUGAUUAAUAUCUUGCUCUGAACACUCCGUGAAGAGACCUAUUUUCCUCCGCUGAUUAUACAGAGAGCUUAAAAAAACUCAGUUCAAAAAAUUAUAUAGUGAGAAUUCCUCUAAAGCUCAUCCCUGCACUAGAUCGCGU